rnacentral:lncRNA from 1 species
AAAGCUAGGGUUUUAUUCCUAUAUAUUGUAUUCUAAAUCAUAUUAUUUUACAUAACUCGGAUUCACUUUCGGUUUUCAAUAUUUAUUAUACAUUUUCUGAUUCGGUUCCAACCGAAAGUUGCAUAUCUACUCUAUUAAAAGAGGAGUACAAAUAUCAUGUAAACCUGACUGCUGAUGUAAUUUACUCUAUUAAAAGAGGAGUACAAAUAUAAAAUAUUCCUAAGUUUCCCAAUUUAUUUACAAUGACAUGCCAUUAGAGUUAUCAAUUAACCUACCUUUUAGGAUUUUAUGUCUUUUUCUGUUUAAUUAAUAUAUUUUCUAAUUUGACC